GCGGGUGUAGUUCAGUGGUAGAACAUCUCGUUGCCAACGAGAAGCCCGUGGGUUCGAGUCCCAUCGCCCGCU
rnacentral:tRNA from 1 species